rnacentral:tRNA from 1 species
CAAGGUGUAGCUUAAUUAAAGCAUCUCGCUUACACCGAGAAAAUGCCCGUUUGACUCGAGUCACCUUGA